rnacentral:rRNA from 1 species
UACGAAGGGGGCGAGCGUUGUUCGGAUUUACUGGGCGUAAAGGGCGCGCAGGCGGCGCAUUUUGUCAGGCGUGAAAGCCCCGGGCUUAACCUGGGACUGCGUUUGAUACGGAUGGGCUAGAGUUCGGGAGAGGAGAGUGGAAUUCCUGGUGUAGCGGUGGAAUGCGCAGAUAUCAGGAGGAACACCAAUAGCGAAGGCAGCUCGCUGGGACGUUACUGACACUGAGGCGCGAAAGCGUGGGGAGCGAACAGG